CCAACGAUCUUCCGGGCCUCCUGGUAGAGGGUGUUGGGACUCCAGUGCGGGUUGAGGUCAUGUAGCUCUUUGACCAGACGGACCACAACCUCCUGAGACACGAGUCGGACCUGCGCAGACCACCAAGGUGAGCGGUAAGAGAGGGCAAGCAAACCUGCUGUCAAUAGGAGACAGUGGUGGCGGUGGGUUGCUCCACGGGUUUUACAGGUGGCAGGCUGAAGUUGUG